AGAGUUUGAUCCUGGCUCAGAAUGAACGCUGGCGGCGUGCCUAACACAUGCAAGUCGGAUGUGCCGCAAGGUGCAUGGCAGACGGGUGAGUAACGCGUGGGGAAUCUACCUCUUUGUGGGGAAUAACGCUCCGAAAGGAGUGGUAAUACCGCAUGAGACCUUCGGCUGGGAUGCUGGAGGUGAAACCUGGGGACCGCAAGGCCUGGGGCAAGGAGAGGAUCCUGCGUCUGAUUAGCUAGUUGGCGGGGUAAUGGCCCACCAAGGCGACGAUCAGUAGCCGGCCUGAGAGGGUGAUUGGCCACACUGGAACUGAGACACGGUCCAGACUCCUACGGGAGGCAGCAGUGGGGAAUUUUGCGCAAUGGACGAGAGUCU
rnacentral:rRNA from 1 species